GUCUUUUGAUGUUCCGGGAAUCUCUUUGGUAACCAAUCACUUUUCAAGGAUUGGUUUUGGGGGAUGGAGACGUAAUAUAAUCAUCUCGCUAUCCGCUAGGAAUAAAAUAAGUUUCAUUGACGGAACAAUUCCCAAACCUCCAGAAAACUCUCCUCAGUUUAGGCAAUGGGAUUGGUGCAACAAUAUGGUUAUCUCUUGGCUUACUAAUUCCCUUGCGCCAGAGAUAGCCGAGAGUGUUCAGUAUUCCGAUACUGCUCAAAGCAUCUGGAAUCAACUUAAUAGUAGAUAUGGGACUAUCAAUGGCACCAGGAUAUUUGAGAUUAAGCAGGAGUUGGCAUCAACUAAUCAGGGGUCUUUGGAUAUAGCAUCUUAUUUCAACAAGUUGAAGAAACUGUGGGAUGAGCUGAGUUUCAUGCGUGCAUCUCGUGGCAACACUUGCACAUGCGAUGCCCGAGCUUCAAAGGGAGGAUGAUGAAAAUAAAUUGCAUCAGUUUCUUAUGGGGCUCAAUGACAUUUAUGUGGGAGUCAGAAGCAAUAUUCUUAUGUUACAGCCUCCACCAACUCUGGAUUGUGCAUACAAUAUUUUACUCCAAUAUGAGAGACAAAGACAAGUUUCUUCACCAUCCCAAUUUCAUCAUGAUUCAAGUGCUUUCAAUACUCAUUUCAGCAGAAAACCCUCUAUCACAAAAUUUCCUCCCACAGCUGGAUAUCCUAAGCGGUUCAGCCCCAGACUCAACUUUGAUCUCAACAAGACAAACUUGGUGUGUAGGUAUUGUAAGAAACUUGGACACCUGAUUGACAAGUGUUACAAACAUAAUGGAUUUCCACCAGACUUCAAAUUCACAAGAGGAUUUCCAUCAGACUUCAAAUUCACAAAAGGAAGGAGGAGUGCAGCACAUGUUGAAGUGCAGGGGUGUACAAACCCUGCUGGAACUCAGAACAGUGCUGACAAUGCUCAGGGGGUUUCUAAUUCAGAGUCUCUAAUACCUGGUUUAACCAAAGAUCAAUACUCCCAGCUUAUGUUGCUGCUCCAACAGACACAGAUUUCAGAGUCGAUUCAGAGUCUCUAAUACCUGGUCUAACCAAAGAUCAAUACUCCAAACUUAUGUUGCUGCUCCAACAGACAUAGAUUUCAGAGUCUCAGCAGCAGUCCAGUCUUAUGGC
rnacentral:lncRNA from 1 species